rnacentral:rRNA from 1 species
UACGUAGGGACCGAGCGUUGUCCGGAUUCAUUGGGCGUAAAGGGCUCGUAGGCGGCUGCUCAAGUCGAAUGUGAAAACUCGAGGCUCAACCUCGAGCCUGCAUUCGAUACUGGGCGGCUAGAGUCUGGUAGGGGGAGUCUGGAAUUCCUGGUGUAGCGGUGGAAUGCGCAGAUAUCAGGAGGAACACCGGUGGCGAAGGCGGGAUCCUGGGCCAGUACUGACGCUGAUGAGCGAAAGCGUGGGGAGCAAACAGG